GACGAACGCUGGCGGCGUGCUUAACACAUGCAAGUCGAACGGAAAGGCCCUGCUUUUGUGGGGUGCUCGAGUGGCGAACGGGUGAGUAACACGUGAGUAACCUGCCCUUGACUUUGGGAUAACUUCAGGAAACUGGGGCUAAUACCGGAUAGGAGCUCCUGCUGCAUGGUGGGGGUUGGAAAGUUUCGGCGGUUGGGGAUGGACUCGCGGCUUAUCAGCUUGUUGGUGGGGUAGUGGCUUACCAAGGCUUUGACGGGUAGCCGACCUGAGAGGGUGACCGGCCCCAAUGGGACUAAGAUACGGGCCAGACUCCUACGGGGGGCAGCAGUGGAGAAUAUUGCACAAUGGGCGGAAGCCUGAUGCAGCAGCGCCGCGUGCGGGGUGACGGCCUUCGGGUUGUAAACCGCUUUCGCCUGUGACGAAGCGUGAGUGACGGUAAUGGGUAAAGAAGCACCGGCUAACUACGUG
rnacentral:rRNA from 1 species